CGUUGGUGAACCAGCGGAGGGAUCAUUACUGAGUUUACGCUCUAUAACCCUUUGUGAACAUACCUAUAACUGUUGCUUCGGCGGGUAGGGUCUCCGUGACCCUCCCGGCCUCCCGCCCCCGGGCGGGUCGGCGCCCGCCGGAGGAUAACCAAACUCUGAUUUAACGACGUUUCUUCUGAGUGGUACAAGCAAAUAAUCAAAACUUUUAACAACGGAUCUCUUGGUUCUGGCAUCGAUGAAGAACGCAGCGAAAUGCGAUAAGUAAUGUGAAUUGCAGAAUUCAGUGAAUCAUCGAAUCUUUGAACGCACAUUGCGCCCGCCAGCAUUCUGGCGGGCAUGCCUGUUCGAGCGUCAUUUCAACCCUCAAGCUCUGCUUGGUGUUGGGGCCCUACAGCUGAUGUAGGCCCUCAAAGGUAGUGGCGGACCCUCCCGGAGCCUCCUUUGCGUAGUAACUUUACGUCUCGCACUGGGAUCCGGAGGGACUCUUGCCGUAAAACCCCCAAUUUUCCAAAGGUUGACCUCGGAUCAGGUAGGAAUACCCGCUGAACUUAAGCAUAUCAAU
rnacentral:rRNA from 1 species